rnacentral:misc_RNA from 1 species
GUACCGUUUUCCUCUUCUCCUAAUCUUUUUUUUUUGUUUUCUUUUAUUCGUUCGUUCACUCUGUUUCUCUUUAUUAUAAUGAUUAUAUAAGCAUCUAAUGUCAUAGUUCUUGAAGGGUUCGCGUGUAAUUGUCUUGCCUGAGCUUUUAUAUGGGAUUUUUUUGUAGAAUUUUAUGUAUGAACUAGGCUAAUUAACCGAAGCUAAAUGAGUAUCGUAAUACAAAUAUAUUUAUUUUAAAUUGAAGAAUGAAAUUUUAAAAUUGGUGAAUCAGAAAUGUUUCUCAUGAAUUUUGCCAUAUAAUGGAUUGAUAUAUGUACUAAUUCACCCCAACAGUUUUUGUGUUGAAAGAGAGUUCAAGAAAGGGUAUUUUCUGCUGCUUCUGCUGGUAAUAUUUUGCUAUAUUUGGGUUACAGUCAUGCUAUUGUGG